rnacentral:rRNA from 1 species
UACGGAGGGUGCAAGCGUUAUCCGGAUUCACUGGGUUUAAAGGGUGCGUAGGCGGGCAGGUAAGUCCGCGGUGAAAUCCUGGGGCUUAACCCCAGAACUGCCGCUGAUACUAUCUGUCUUGAAUACUGUGGAGGUGAGCGGAAUAUGUCAUGUAGCGGUGAAAUGCUUAGAUAUGACAUAGAACACCAAUUGCGAAGGCAGCUCACUACACAGCCAUUGACGCUGAGGCACGAAAGCGUGGGGAUCAAAC